rnacentral:misc_RNA from 1 species
GAUGAAGAACGUAGCGAAAUGCGAUACGUAAUGUGAAUUGCAGAAUUCAGUGAAUCAUCGAAUCUUUGAACGCAUAUUGCGCUCUUUGGUAUUCCGAAGAGCAUGCUUGUUUGAGUAUCAGUAAACACCUCAAAGCUUUUGGAUUUUUUAAUCGAAAAGCUUUGGACUCGAGCAAUCCCAACACCAAUCUUUUUGAGAUCGGUGGCGGGUUGCUUGAAAUGCAGGUGCAGCUGGACAUUCUCCUGAGCUAAAAGCAUAUUCAUUUAGUCCCGUCAAACGGAUUAUUACUUUUGCUGCAGCUAACAUAAAGGGAGUUUGACCGUAUUGGCUGACUGAUGCAGGAUUUCACAAGGGUCGGCAACGAUUCUUGUUAAACUCGAUCUCAAAUCAAGUAAGACUACCCGCUGAACUUAAGCAUAUCAAUAAGCGGAGGA